AUUGUAGCCAAUGAACAGAAGUUGUCUUAAAGGGAGAGAGGCUUCUAAACAGGAUGAAGAUGGUAAGAACAUGAGGAGUAGAGGGUUGUGUUUGGUUCCUCUAUCAUGCACUCACUAUAUUGAAACUAGUCCAAAUAAUGCAGCAGAUUGUUGGGCUGCAACUUCUACAUCCUUAGGACGAGGCUUUCCUUAAUAUACUAAGUCAUUAUUUUAAUAAUAAUAGUUAUAAUAUAUUUAUAUAUAUUUAUAUAUAUUUAUAUAUAAUUAUAUUAUAUAGUAUGCACAUCUUCAUUAAUCUCAGUAAAAAUAUUUUGAGGAUAUAUAAUAAUGUACAUAUAUGUCUUAUUUAUGUUUGAGUAUCAAGAUUGAUAUUUCA